rnacentral:rRNA from 1 species
UACGUAGGGUGCAAGCGUUGUCCGGAAUUAUUGGGCGUAAAGAGCUCGUAGGCGGUCUGUUGCGUCGGCUGUGAAAACCCGGGGCUCAACUUCGGGCCUGCAGCCGAUACGGGCAGACUAGAGUUCGGCAGGGGAGACUGGAAUUCCUGGUGUAGCGGUGAAAUGCGCAGAUAUCAGGAGGAACACCGGUGGCGAAGGUGGGUCUCUGGGCCGAUACUGACGCUGAGGAGCGAAAGCGUGGGGAGCAAACAGG